rnacentral:rRNA from 1 species
UACGAGGGGGGCGAGCGUUGUUCGGAAUUAUUGGGCGUAAAGGGUGCGUAGGCGGUUUGGUAAGUCUCUUGUGAAAUCUCUGGGCUCAACUCAGAGUCUGCAAGGGAAACUGCCGGGCUUGAGUAUGGGAGAGGUGAGUGGAAUUCCUGGUGUAGCGGUGAAAUGCGUAGAUAUCAGGAGGAACACCGGUGGCGAAGGCGGUUCUCUGGGCCUUACCUGACGCUGAGGAGCGAAAGCGUGGGGAGCAAACAGG